rnacentral:rRNA from 1 species
UACGUAGGGAGCAAGCGUUGUCCGGAAUCAUUGGGCGUAAAGCGCGCGUAGGCGGCCCUGUAAGUCCGUUGUGAAAGUCAAAGGCUCAACCUUUGAAAGCCGAUGGAUACUGCAGGGCUAGAGUUCGGAAGAGGCGAGUGGAAUUCCUGGUGUAGCGGUGGAAUGCGCAGAUAUCAGGAGGAACACCAAUAGCGAAGGCAGCUCGCUGGGACGAUACUGACGCUGAGACGCGAAAGCGUGGGGAGCAAACAGG